rnacentral:rRNA from 1 species
GCGCACCAGGCGAGAAUUUUUGACAAUGGGGGAAACCCUGAUCGAGCGACGCCGCGUGGAGGAUGAAGGUCUUCGGAUUGUAAACUCCUGUCAUUGGGGAACAAGGUGCAUACGUUAACUGCGUGUGUAUUGAUAGUACCCGAAGAGGAAGGGACGGCUAACUCUGUGCCAGCAGCCGCGGUAAUACAGAGGUCCCAAGCGUUGUUCGGAUUCAUUGGGCGUAAAGGGUGCGUAGGCGGCGCGGUAAGUCGGGUGUGAAAUCUCGGAGCUUAACUCCGAAACUGCAUUCGAUACUGCCGUGCUUGAGGACUGGAGAGGAGACUGGAAUUUACGGUGUAGCGGUGAAAUGCGUAGAUAUCGUAAGGAAGACCAGUGGCGUAGGCGGGUCUCUGGACAGUUCCUGACGCUGAGGCACGAAGGCCAGGGGAGCAAACGGGAUUAGAUACCCCGGUAGU